rnacentral:tRNA from 1 species
GGAGCUGUAGCUCAGUGGCAGAGCGUUUGCCUAGCAUGCAUGAGGCACUGGGUUCCAUCCUCAGCACCA